rnacentral:lncRNA from 1 species
UAUGGGCGAAGGGAAGAAAGUAGAUGCUAGUGGUUCAAAUCAUGUAUUAAGCCAACCCAUUCUUUCUAUCUAUUCUUUUUAUCAGUAAAGAGGCGCCUCAGGUUCUUUUCCAAGGGGCAGAGGGUAUUGAGAAGCAGGUAGAGAAGGAAGGAAAGAUCCCUUUAACAAUAACAAGCCGCAAGCAGGCUGCAUAUCUUUCUUCUCUUUUCAAAGAUCGGGGCCCCCGCUGAGAUUCAUUCCUCGUAUCAUCUUAGGAGUGAAUAGGGCUUACGGAACAGCAACUGAAAGAGUUUACUUCCCGAGCUCACUGCCUCACACCACUAUAAGUAGUGCUUUCUUCUUUGCUAAAUAGAAUGUCAAACAUGAAAUAAAAGCAUAUUUUAGAGAUUUUCCUUCCUUUUGGACAGGGUUGCUUUAUUCUUUCGAUUCUAGGCAUAUUCUACUAGGGAAAUCGUCUGGUCAUGUUAGCUCUACAGCGGAUUGGUACAACUGAUAGUGUUUCAAAGCCUAUUACGACAUAUGCAAGCCAUAGAAAAGAGAGUAAGAGAGUCUCCUUUAGAGAUGCUUAUCCUUGAACUAACUCUCCUGCCCUAUUCAUUAAAAGCCCUAUGAUCUUAGACCCUAAAACCUCGUUGUCAAGGGAGUCAAGAAGGACGAAGAAACUUUUGUGGCGCACCAUUCGUUAAACCCCCUCUUCUCGGGCGAUAGGGGUUCCUCUUUAGACUCCGAGGUUCGAGUUUCUUUGUCGGUCGUAAUUGUUCCAAUUUCAUUGCCUCAUGUAAUACGGUAGGAAAAAGAGACUUUUUUGUAUAUGAUAGUCACGUUGAAAAUCUUACGUAAACUCUUCAGACUAAAUAUGAUAAAGCCUAUAAAAAAUUCUAACUACAUAUUCUAACUACAUAUCAUACCUCCAAAAUACAGAACAUAAUCCAGAGUUUGGGCAAAGUGGGGACUCUGCGUGCCCUGAUUGACGAGUUCUAAAUAGAUCCUGAUUGACGAGUUCUAAAUAGAUCUACUUUAGCCAGUGAAUGUUGUCGACGCUAAAAAAAACACGUUCGGCUACCUCUUGGGGAUUGACUCCUGUUGGUAAGUUCACAUCUCCAGUAGUAUCUUUAUAGACUCUAUAAAAAAUUUCUUAUCUUGGAAACGAUUUGUUCUUUAAGUGUAGCUAUUGUUGAAUCAUUAAAACAAAUAAACAAAGAG